GUGCCAGCCGCCGCGGUAACACUGAGGGUGCAAGCGUUAUCCGGAAUCACUGGGCGUAAAGGGCGUGUAGGCGGUCUGUUAAGUCCGAUGUUAAAGACUGGGGCUCAACCCCAGCACGGCGUUGGAUACUGGCGGACUAGACGGCUGGAGAGGCAAGUAGAAUUACCAGUGUAGCGGUGAAAUGCGUAGAUACUGGUAGGAAUACUCAUUGCGAAGGCAGCUUGCUGGACAGCACGUGACGCUAAGGCGCGAAAGUGUGGGGAGCAAACCGGAUUAGAUACCCGGGUAGUCCACACCCUAAACGAUGCACACUUGGUGUCGGCCCGUUGGGGUCGGCGCCGGAGCUAACGCGUUAAGUGUGCCGCCUGGGAAGUACGGCCGCAAGGUUGAAACUCAAAUGAAUUGGCGG
rnacentral:rRNA from 1 species